CGGCCGCUAAUACCCCAUAUGCCGAGAGGUGAAAUGAAUUUUCGCCUGAGGAUGAGCUCGCGUCUGAUUAGCUAGUUGGUGGGGUAAGAGCCUACCAAGGCAUCGAUCAGUAGCUGGUCUGAGAGGAUGAUCAGCCACACUGGGACUGAGACACGGCCCAGACUCCUACGGGAGGCAGCAGUGGGGAAUUUUCCGCAAUGGGCGAAAGCCUGACGGAGCAACGCCGCGUGAGGGAUGAAGGCCUCUGGGCUGUAAACCUCUUUUAUCAAGGAAGAAGAUCUGACGGUACUUGAUGAAUAAGCCACGGCUAAUUCCGUGCCAGCAGCCGCGGUAAUACGGGAGUGGCAAGCGUUAUCCGGAAUUAUUGGGCGUAAAGCGUCCGCAGGCGGCCUUUUAAGUCUGUCGUCAAAGCGUGGAGCUUAACUCCAUUUAAGCGAUGGAAACUGGAAGGCUAGAGUGUGGUAGGGGCAGAGGGAAUUCCCGGUGUAGCGGUGAAAUGCGCAGAUAUCGGGAAGAACACCAGUGGCGAAGGCGCUCUGCUGGGCCAUAACUGACGCUCAUGGACGAAAGCCAGGGGAGCGAAAGGGAUUAGAUACCCCUGUAGUC
rnacentral:rRNA from 1 species